rnacentral:rRNA from 1 species
GGUUAAGCGACUAAGCGUACACGGUGGAUGCCCUGGCAGUCAGAGGCGAUGAAGGACGUGCUAAUCUGCGAAAAGCGUCGGUAAGGUGAUAUGAACCGUUAUAACCGGCGAUGUCCGAAUGGGGAAACCCAGUGUGAUUCGUCACACUAUCGUUAACUGAAUACAUAGGUUAACGAGGCGAACCGGGGGAACUGAAACAUCUAAGUACCCCGAGGAAAAGAAAUCAACCGAGAUUCCCCCAGUAGCGGCGAGCGAACGGGGAGCAGCCCAGAGUCUGAAUCAGCUUGUGUGUUAGUGGAACGGUCUGGAAAGUCCGACGGUACAGGGUGAUAGUCCCGUACACCAAAAUGCACAGGCUGUGAACUCGAAGAGUAGGGCGGGACACGUGGUAUCCUGUCUGAAUAUGGGGGGACCAUCCUCCAAGGCUAAAUACUCCUGACUGACCGAUAGUGAACCAGUACCGUGAGGGAAAGGCGAAAAGAACCCCGGCGAGGGGAGUGAAAAAGAACCUGAAACCGUGUACGUACAAGCAGUGGGAGCACCUUCGGGUGUGACUGCGUACCUUUUGUAUAAUGGGUCAGCGACUUAUAUUCUGUAGCAAGGUUAACCGUAUAGGGGAGCCGCAGGGAAACCGAGUCUUAACUGGGCGUUAAGUUGCAGGGUAUAGACCCGAAACCCGGUGAUCUAGCCAUGGGCAGGUUGAAGGUUGGGUAACACUAACUGGAGGACCGAACCGACUAAUGUUGAAAAAUUAGCGGAUGACUUGUGGCUGGGGGUGAAAGGCCAAUCAAACCGGGAGAUAGCUGGUUCUCCCCGAAAGCUAUUUAGGUAGCGCCUCGUGAACUCAUCUUCGGGGGUAGAGCACUGUUUCGGCUAGGGGGUCAUCCCGACUUACCAACCCGAUGCAAACUACGAAUACCGAAGAAUGUUAUCACGGGAGACACACGGCGGGUGCUAACGUCCGUCGUGAAGAGGGAAACAACCCAGACCGCCAGCUAAGGUCCCAAAGUCAUGGUUAAGUGGGAAACGAUGUGGGAAGGCACAGACAGCCAGGAUGUUGGCUUAGAAGCAGCCAUCAUUUAAAGAAAGCGUAAUAGCUCACUGGUCGAGUCGGCCUGCGCGGAAGAUGUAACGGGGCUAAACCAUGCACCGAAGCUGCGGCAGCGACACUAUGUGUUGUUGGGUAGGGGAGCGUUCUGUAAGCCUGCGAAGGUGUGCUGUGAGGCAUGCUGGAGGUAUCAGAAGUGCGAAUGCUGACAUAAGUAACGAUAAAGCGGGUGAAAAGCCCGCUCGCCGGAAGACCAAGGGUUCCUGUCCAACGUUAAUCGGGGCAGGGUGAGUCGACCCCUAAGGCGAGGCCGAAAGGCGUAGUCGAUGGGAAACAGGUUAAUAUUCCUGUACUUGGUGUUACUGCGAAGGGGGGACGGAGAAGGCUAUGUUAGCCGGGCGACGGUUGUCCCGGUUUAAGCAUGUAGGCUG